UACGUAGGGUGCGAGCGUUACUCGGAAUUACUGGGCGUAAAGCGCGCGCAGGCGGUUUUGUAAGUCAGAUGUGAAAUCCCCGGGCUUAACCUGGGAAUGGCAUUUGGGACUGCAAGGCUGGAGUGUGGCAGAGGAGACUGGAGUUCCUGGUGUAGCAGUGAGAUGCGUAGAUAUUGGGAAGAACACCGGUGGCGAAGGCGGCUAUCUGGACCGACAUUGACGCUGAGGCGCGAAAGCGUGGGGAGCAAACAGG
rnacentral:rRNA from 1 species